AGAGAGUUCUAGUGGGGGGAGGCUUCCAGUGGGGAGAGGGUUCCAGUGUGUGGGUGGGGAGAGGUCCAGAUGGGGGAGGGUUCCAGUGGGUGGGGAGAGGUCCAGGUUGGGGGGGAUGGUACCAGUGGGGGGAAGGUCCCAGGGUGGAGGGUUCCAAUGGGGGGGAAGAGGUCCAGGUGAGGGGUUCCAGUCGGGGGGAGGAUCCCAGGGGGGAGGGUUCCAGUGGGGGGAGAAAGGGGCACUAAGUACUAAAGGGAAACAGCCCAGAAACCUGGAAAGACGACAGCUCCUCAGGGGCCAUCACUCCCUCAUCUACUGCUAGAUGAACAAGUGUGUUAGCCCUUCAUUCACCGCAGAACCGGAGGCACUGGGGGCCUGCCUCUGCUCUCCAGGAGCUCACACACUCACAGGAGGACUUUCCCACACAUGUGGCUUCAGGGGAAACUGGUCUCUGCUUUUCAGACCCCCUCGCUGUCCAUGCACUCCCAGCACAGUCCUGCCACCUACAUGGGCUCCAGGAAGCACCACGGGCACACACUCCCCACCCCUCCGGACCUCAAGGGAUGUUGGGACACACUGUCUUCAGGGACAGCUACAACAGGAUCUUUCCUUUAGUUUCCUUUUCAGAAGCCACAACUAGCCAUUAGGUUGUAGCCUACAAUUCUGUCCCAAGAUUCCCCAGCUUAUGAAUCAGAAAACCAGCAUCAAAUCUCAGACUGAUACCAACCCUAGGCCUUGGAAACUGGCAAACGAAAGGAGUUCAAGUCUACCGUACCCUCCGAGUGCCAACAGGUCCAGGAUUGCAGAAGUGUCCCUCCUUUGGAUCUCAAGCAGGGGGGAAGCAGCGCUGUCCUCACUAAAACUAUACAAGUAGAGACGACCUAAACGGAUCUGAGGCUCAUCAAGGUCAGGUGCGCUCUAA